rnacentral:pre_miRNA from 1 species
GGUCCAAAUCUGAAGUAAAGUAGAUUAAUACGAUCAAUUGACCCUACUAAACUACUCAAUUUUGAGUUUGGGCCC